AACGUAGGACGCAAGCGUUAUCCGGAGUUACUGGGCGUAAAGGGCAGGUAGGCGGCCCGCUAAGUCGAACGUGAAAUCCCCGAGCUCAACUCGGGAACUGCGUCCGAUACUGGUGGGCUUGAAUCCGGGAGAGGGAUGCGGAAUUCCAGGUGUAGCGGUGAAAUGCGUAGAUAUCUGGAGGAACACCGGUGGCGAAGGCGGCAUCCUGGACCGGUAUUGACGCUGAGGCGCGAAAGCCAGGGGAGCAAACGGG
rnacentral:rRNA from 1 species